rnacentral:rRNA from 1 species
UACGGAGGGAGCUAGCGUUGUUCGGAAUUACUGGGCGUAAAGCGCGCGUAGGCGGCUUUGUAAGUUAGAGGUGAAAGCCCGGGGUUCAACCCCGGAAUUGCCUUUAAGACUGCAUCGCUUGAAUCCGGGAGAGGUGAGUGGAAUUCCGAGUGUAGAGGUGAAAUUCGUAGAUAUUCGGAAGAACAUCAGUGGCGAAGGCGGCUCACUGGACCGGCAUUGACGCUGAGGUGCGAAAGCGUGGGGAGCAAACAGG